rnacentral:rRNA from 1 species
AACGAACGCUGGCGGCGCGCCUAAUACAUGCAAGUCGAGCGAGAAGACGUAGCAAUACGUUUGUAAAGCGGCGAACGGGUGAGGAAUACAUGGGUAACCUACCCUCGAGUGGGGAAUAACUAGCCGAAAGGUUAGCUAAUACCGCGUACGCUCCUUGGACUUCGGUUCAGGGAGGAAAGCGAUACCGUGGGUAUCGCGCUCUUGGAUGGGCUCAUGUCCUAUCAGCUUGUUGGUGAGGAACGGCUCACCAAGGCUUCGACGGGUAGCUGGUCUGAGAGGACGAUCAGCCACACUGGCACUGCGACACGGGCCAGACUCCUACGGGAGGCAGCAGUAAGGAAUAUUGCGCAAUGGGCGAAAGCCUGACGCAGCGACGCCGCGUGGGGGAUGAAGGUCUUCGGAUUUGUAAACCCCUUUCGGGAGGGAAGAUGGAACGAGCAAUCGUUCGGACGGUACCUCCAGAAGCAGCCACGGCUAACUUCGUGCCAGCCGCCGCAGUAA